UACGGAGGGUGCAAACGUUGCUCGGAAUUAUUGGGCGUAAAGCGCACGUAGGCGGUUCGUUAAGUCGGAUGUGAAAGCCUUAGGCUCAACCUAGGAUGUGCAUUCGAAACUGGCGAGCUUGAAUAUGGAAGAGGGUCGCGGAAUUCCCGGUGUAGAGGUGAAAUUCGUAGAUAUCGGGAGGAACACCAGUGGCGAAGGCGGCUCACUGGCCCGGUACUGACGCUGAUAUACGAAAGCGUGGGGAGCAAACAGG
rnacentral:rRNA from 1 species